AAUAUAUAGGUAACGUGCCCUAGAGAGGGGGAUAACAGAUGGAAACGUCUGCUAACACCCCAUAUGCCUUUGUCACAAAAGUGAGCAAGGGAAAUAUUUAUAGCUCUAGGAUCGGCCUGUACGGUAUCAGCUAGUUGGUGAGGUAAUGGCUCACCAAGGCAAUGACACCUAACUGGUUUGAGAGGAUGAUCAGUCACACUGGAACUGAGACACGGUCCAGACUCCUACGGGAGGCAGCAGUGGGGAAUAUUGCACAAUGGACGAAAGUCUGAUGCAGCAACGCCGCGUGGAGGAUGACACAUUUCGGUGCGUAAACUCCUUUUAUAUAGGAAGAUAAUGACGGUACUAUAUGAAUAAGCACCGGCUAACUCCGUGCCAGCAGCCGCGGUAAUACGGAGGGUGCAAGCGUUACUCGGAAUUACUGGGCGUAAAGAGCGUGUAGGCGGGUAAAUAAGUUGGAAGUGAAAUCCUAUGGCUCAACCAUAGAACUGCUUCCAAAACUGUUAACCUAGAAUGUGGGAGAGGUAGAUGGAAUUUCUGGUGUAGGGGUAAAAUCCGUAGAUAUCAGAAGGAAUACCGAUUGCGAAGGCGAUCUACUGGAACAUAAUUGACGCUGAGACGCGAAAGCGUGGGGAGCAAACAGGAUUAGAUACCCUGGUAGUCCACGCCCUAAACGAUGUACACUAGUUGUUGUGAGGCUAGACCUUGCAGUAAUGCAGUUAACACAUUAAGUGUACCGCCUGGGGAGUACGGUCGCAAGAUUAAAACUCAAAGGAAUAGACGGGGACCCGCACAAGCGGUGGAGCAUGUGGUUUAAUUCGACUAUACGCGAGAACCUUACCAACCCUUGAAUGCAUAUCAACGCUUUAGGAGACUAAAGCUUCGGGUAAUGCUGGAUUUGCACAGGUGUUGCAUGGCCGUCGUCAGCUCGUGUUGUGAAAUGUUGGGUUAAGUCCCAAAACGAGCGAAACCCUCUUCUUUAGUUGCUACUUUUUAGUUUUUAGAAAUUAAAAAGAGAACUCUAGAGAUAGGUUCAGCCAAUUAUUUGGUUUGAAGGAAGAUGAGGACGACGUCAGGUAAUCAUGGCCCUUAUGGGUUGGGCUACACAUGUCUACAAUGGCACUUACAGAGGGCUGCAAAGAAGAAAUUCUGAGCUUAAUCCCUUAAAGAGUGCCCUAGUUCGGAUUGUUCUCUGGAACUCGAGAACAUGAAGCCGGAAUCGCUAGUAAUCGCGAAUCAGAACGUCGCGGUGAAUACGUUAUCGGGCCUUGUACACACCGCCCGUCACGCCAUUGGAGUUGAUUUUGUUGGAAGCUAAUUGUUAAAAAUAUUAGUGAAAAUAGAGUUGAUGACCGUGGUGAAGUCGUAACAAGGUA
rnacentral:rRNA from 1 species